rnacentral:tRNA from 1 species
UAGACGAAGAGGUAGAGUCAACUGGUGGCUGUAGUUUAGUGGUGAGAAUUCCACGUUGUGGCCGUGGAGACCUGGGCUCGAAUCCCAGCAGCCACACC